GACGAACGCUGGCGGCGUGCCUAAUACAUGCAAGUUGAGCGAUGAAGAUUGGUGCCUGCCCCAAUUUGAAGAGCAGCGAACGGGUGAGUAACGCGUGGGGAAUCUGCCUUUGAGCGGGGGACAACAUUUGGAAACGAAUGCUAAUACCGCAUAAUAACUUUAAACAUAAGUUUUAAGUUUGAAAGAUGCAAUUGCAUCACUCAAAGAUGAUCCCGCGUUGUAUUAGCUAGUUGGUGAGGUAAAGGCUCACCAAGGCGAUGAUACAUAGCCGACCUGAGAGGGUGAUCGGCCACAGUGGGACUGAGACACGGCCCAAACUCCUACGGGAGGCAGCAGUAGGGAAUCUUCGGCAAUGGACGAAAGUCUGACCGAGCAACGCCGCGUGAGUGAAGAAGGGUUUCGGAUCGUAAAACUCUGUUGGUAGAGAAGAACGUUGGUGAGAGUGGAAAGCUCAUCAAGUGACGGUAACUACCCAGAAAGGGACGGCUAACUACGUG
rnacentral:rRNA from 1 species